rnacentral:rRNA from 1 species
AAUUUAAAAAUAAUUCAAACUAAAUAAAAAAAAUAAUCUUACUUUUAAAUUAUUAAUAAAAAAACUUUUAAUAAAUUAUUCAUCUUUUAAAAAAUAUAAAAAUAAACUCAUUUUAAAUCUAUUAUUAUUUAAAUAUUGAUCUAACAUUUAAAUUAUAAAACUUUUAAUUAAUUAAAAAUUAUAAAUCUUUAAACUCAUUUAAUAUCAAAAAUAAAUAAAAUUUAAUAAAUCAAUAAAAAAAGUGUAAAAUCUAAUUAUUAAACAAGUUACCCUAAUUUUUAAAUACCGCCAAAUCAAAUAAUUUUAUUUAAUAUUAUUCUUCAAUAAUUAAAUUUAUUAAUUAUUUUAUACUAGGGUAUCUAAUCCUAUUGAAAAAAAAAUUAAAUUUUUUUAUUAUAUUCUUUAAUAAAUAAUUAUUAAUUUCACCCAAAUUUUUAAAUUUAAAAAAAAUUAAAUAUAAAAUUAAAUUAAUAACUUAAAAUUAAUUUAAAAUUUUUGU